CUGCCACCAUGUGAGACAUGCCUUUCACCUUCCACCAUGACUGUGAGGCCUCUUCAGCCAUGUGGAACUUGCAAGGAAGAGGUCAUAUGAGCACCCAGAGAAACAGUGGCUGCCUGCAAGACUAGAGAACAGUCCUCAGAAUAAAACCUCCCUGGCUGGCACCUUGAGCUUGGACUUCCUGGCCUCUAGAACUGUGAGAAAUGAAUUUCUGUGAUUUAAGCCACUAAAUCUAUGGUAUUUUUUUAAGCAUCUCAAGCAGACAAAUAGAGAUGCAUACUCUGUGAUAUAUUUAUAAAAAGGUUUAAAACAUGCAAUUCUACCAUAUGUUGUUUAGGAACACACACAUAUGUAGUAAUAGCAUAAAUGCAUCCACGGGAUGUAUAAACACCAAAUUUAGGAGAGUGGUUCUCUUUGCAGGGUAGGGGAAGGGGAGAUGCAACUGGGGAAGGAUCAGGAAGUCUCAAGUAUAUUUGCUAUUUUAUUUCCUAAGGUGAAUGCUAUGUUGUUUUCUAAAUGUUUUUGUAUGUUUUUAUGUCACAAGAAUAUUUUUAAAAGAAAAGAUUGGGACCUCGUGAAAUCAUCAAGGUGCUGGAUCAAACCUUACCAAGUUAUAUGAGCCGACACACCCCACAGUUGCUUCAGCCAAUGUGAGGAUGAUUUGUUUGUUGCUGCAGUCAGAGGCUCAUCAGAGAUCUGGUCUCCUCCAUGAGGCCUCAUCUAACCACUGCAGCUCCGGAAUGAGCCCCGUCUCACCUGCUAUAAACUAUGAUGACUUUCACUUGGUUCAA